UUUGAGGCAGACGUGAGGGCCUGGUGGU
rnacentral:piRNA from 1 species